rnacentral:rRNA from 1 species
ACGACGCUGGCGGCGUGCCUAAUACACGCAAGUCGAACGGUCUUUCUAUGGAAGCUUGCUUCACUGAGAAGAUAGUGGCGAACGGGUGAGUAACACGUGGGUAACCUGCCCAUAAGAGGGGGAUAACAUCCGGAAACGGGUGCUAAUACCGCAUAGUUUUCUUGAUCGCAUGAUUGAGAAAGGAAAGAUGGCCUUUGUGCUGUCGCUUAUGGAUGGACCCGCGGCGUAUUAGUUAGUUGGUGAGGUAACGGCUCACCAAGACGAUGAUACGUAGCCGACCUGAGAGGGUGAUCGGCCACAUUGGGACUGAGACACGGCCCAAACUCCUACGGGAGGCAGCAGUAGGGAAUCUUCCGCAAUGGACGAAAGUCUGACGGAGCAACGCCGCGUGAGUGAAGAAGGUUUUUCCGGAUCGUAAAACUCUGUUGUCAGAGAAGAACAAGUUGGAGAGUAACUGCUCCAGCCUUGACGGUAUCUGACCAGAAAGCCACGGCUAACUACGUGCCAGCCGCAGC